UACGGGGGGGGCAAGCGUUGUUCGGAAUUACUGGGCGUAAAGGGUUUGUAGGUGGCUUGCUAAGUCAGACGUGAAAUCCCUCAGCUUAACUGGGGAACUGCGUCUGAGACUGGCAAGCUUGAGUGCAGGAGAGGAACGCGGAAUUCCAGGUGUAGCGGUGAAAUGCGUAGAUAUCUGGAGGAACACCGGUGGCGAAGGCGGCGUUCUGGACCGACACUGACGCUGAGGAGCGAAAGCCAGGGGAGCAAACGGG
rnacentral:rRNA from 1 species